rnacentral:rRNA from 1 species
AGGCAGCAGUGGGGAAUAUUGCACAAUGGGGGAAACCCUGAUGCAGCCAUGCCGCGUGUGUGAAGAAGGCCUUCGGGUUGUAAAGCACUUUCAGCGAGGAGGAAAGGUCAGUAGCUAAUAUCUGCUGGCUGUGACGUUACUCGCAGAAGAAGCACCGGCUAACUCCGUGCCAGCAGCCGCGGUAAUACGGAGGGUGCAAGCGUUAAUCGGAAUUACUGGGCGUAAAGCGCACGCAGGCGGUUGGAUAAGUUAGAUGUGAAAGCCCCGGGCUCAACCUGGGAAUUGCAUUUAAAACUGUCCAGCUAGAGUCUUGUAGAGGGGGGUAGAAUUCCAGGUGUAGCGGUGAAAUGCGUAGAGAUCUGGAGGAAUACCGGUGGCGAAGGCGGCCCCCUGGACAAAGACUGACGCUCAGGCGCGAAAGCGUGGGUAGCGAACAGGAUUAGAUACCCCUGGUAGUCCACGCCGUAAACGAUGUCUGCUAGCCGUUGGGGGGCUUGUCCCUUCAGUGGCGGAGCUAACGCGAUAAGCAGACCGCCUGGGGAGUAACGGCCGCAAGGUUAAAACUCAAAUGAAUUGACGGGGGC